GGCUGAUUAGGUAGUUGGCGGGGUAAAGGCCCACCAAGCCUUCGAUCAGUAGCUGAUGUGAGAGCAUGAUCAGCCACACGGGCACUGAGACACGGGCCCGACUCCUACGGGAGGCAGCAGUAAGGAAUAUUGGUCAAUGGACGCAAGUCUGAACCAGCCAUGCCGCGUGAAGGAUGAAGGUCCUCUGGAUUGUAAACUUCUUUUAUAGGGGGCGAAAAAAGGUCUUUCUAGAUCACUUGACAGUACCCUAUGAAUAAGCACCGGCUAACUCCGUGCCAGCAGCCGCGGUAAUACGGAGGGUGCAAGCGUUAUCCGGAUUCACUGGGUUUAAAGGGUGCGUAGGCGGGCAUUUAAGUCAGUGGUGAAAUCCUG
rnacentral:rRNA from 1 species